AUUGAACGCUGGCGGCAUGCCUUACACAUGCAAGUCGAACGGCAGCACGGGAGCAAUCCUGGUGGCGAGUGGCGAACGGGUGAGUAAUAUAUCGGAACGUGCCCAGUCGUGGGGGAUAACGCAGCGAAAGCUGUGCUAAUACCGCAUACGAUCUACGGAUGAAAGCGGGGGAUCGCAAGACCUCGCGCGAUUGGAGCGGCCGAUAUCAGAUUAGCUAGUUGGUGAGGUAAAGGCUCACCAAGGCGACGAUCUGUAGCUGGUCUGAGAGGACGACCAGCCACACCGGAACUGAGACACGGUCCAGACUCCUACGGGAGGCAGCAGUGGGGAAUUUUGGACAAUGGGCGAAAGCCUGAUCCAGCAAUGCCGCGUGCAGGAUGAAGGCCUUCGGGUUGUAAACUGCUUUUGUACGGAACGAAACGGUGAGCUCUAAUACAGUUUGCUAAUGACGGUACCGUAAGAAUAAGCACCGGCUAACUACGUGCCAGCAGCCGCGGUAA
rnacentral:rRNA from 1 species